AAAUGUGAGUCAUGCAGUUGGAAUAGAAGGCAGAGAAGGCACAACAUCGAAGUGUGUGUGUUCCUAAUGCACCAUGUGUGUGUUCUUAAUGCACCAUGUGUGUGUUCCUACUGCACAAUGUGUGUGUUCUUAAUGCACCAUGUGUGUGUGUCCCAGCGAAUCACCCUGGCAUGUCCAAAAAGGAUGCCUAGCCACCCGCCUCCACCCCUCCUCUCCUACUCACUGCCCCCCCUCCCUCCUCCAUGACAACAUCGACCACUUCCUGUAUUCUAGCACCAUGGGUGAACAAAGGGGAUGACUGUCCCUCUCUCUGCGGCUGUAAUGGUUAACAUGGUGGGGGGUCACGGUGGUGGGGGCGCUGGAGGCGAGCGUGGGUCUGAUUCAUGGCAGAAACAGCCAGCCAGAGGCACGUGAUUGGUCGGAUUUAGAGGAUCCGCUAAUGGCUGGCGGAGGAAGGAGGAGAAGAAAAGGCGUCCUGAGGUAUGAAUGGCAGGAAGCCGCUUCCCACCCACCCCUUCUGGCCCACACCUUUCCGUUCCCACACGCUUGCCCGGCCCCACGUGCACACACACACACACACACACACACACACACACACACACACACACACACACACACACACACACACACACACACACACACACACACACACACACACACACACACACACACACACACACACACACACAC